GUGGAUGUAGCUCAGUGGUAGAGCGCUUGCCUUGCAUGUGCAAGGCCCUGGGUUCAAUCCCAAUACCACA
rnacentral:tRNA from 1 species